UGUAGGGUAAACUAAUUAAGUUGUUGGGUUCAUGCCCCAAAAAUAUCAAUUCUUGAUUCUUACAU
rnacentral:tRNA from 1 species